rnacentral:rRNA from 1 species
CUACGGGCGGCUGCAGUGAGGAAUAUUGCACGAUGGGGGGAACCCUGAUGCAGCAACGCCGCGUGGAGGAUGACGCAUUUCGGUGUGUAAACUCCUUUUAUAUGUCAAGAAAAUGACGGUAGCAUAUGAAUAAGCACCGGCUAACUCCGUGCCAGCAGCCGCGGUAAUACGGAGGGUGCAAGCGUUACUCGGAAUCACUGGGCGUAAAGGACGCGUGGGCGGGUUGGAAAGUCGGGUGUGAAAUCCUACAGCUUAACUGUAGAACUGCACUUGAAACUUCUAAUCUAGAGUAUGGGAGGGGGAGAUGGAAUUAGUGGUGUAGGGGUAAAAUCCGUAGAUAUCACUAGGAAUACCUAAAGCGAAGGCGAUCUCCUGGAACAUUACUGACGCUAAGGCGUGAAAGCGUGGGGAGCAAACAGGAUUAGAUACCCUCGUAGUC